CCCUCAUGUCAGUUGGCAUUUAACACCGGUGCAAGUUGACCGUAGCGGCUGUCUCAUUCAUUCAUGUGACACUCGCUCUGACUGGAGUGCAACAAAGGAAAGUCGAUUUCAUGAAUGAAAUUUUACAGAAAGACGUGUACAAUGACACACUGUCCAAUUUCAAGCUAAAAAACACUUAUAAAACUCUGAUAAUUUAGUCAUGAGUAAAUGCAACAAGAACCUACAUUGUACCUAAUAUAUAUUUCAAGCCGAAUUCCAAGUAAACUGAAUGACAAAGGUGAAAAUAUAAAUCCUCGGAUCAAGAGAACCCAGAGGUAAUAAAAGUGACGCUUUCCAGGGCUGGCACCUCAAUCAUCACCGAACUUUCCUCAUCCCAACAGAAACAACAAAUAGAAGACCAGAAGAGAGAAUGUUAUCAACAGCAGAAAACUGCCUUCAGACAUUUUUUGUGCAGACUCAGCCAUGGACGACUCUCCUGCCUUUUAUAAUGUUCUGCCUUCCAUUUUUUGUACCAGCAGUUGAAAGUAUCGAAUGCUAUGAAUGUGUUCACAAUAACCAACGUGUGAAGCGACAUAACCGAUUUGUGUACCCUUGCUCCGAAUUUGAUGCAUCACCACGAUACAUCAUGCACUGUCCAGACUCAAAACUGU